CAAAAGCCAUGAGUCUUUUAAGCCCAGUGUGUAGAGACACACUCUUGAGCUAUAACUCAAAGGC